ensembl:lncRNA
GGGCGGUACUGCCGUGAGGGGCGCGAGGCCGCCCCGCUCCCUCCCCCGCCGCGGGGCCCCAGGGAAGGGGAGACCGCUUCCAGGGGAAGCGGGAACGGCCGCCCCGGCCCCGCAGCAGGGCCGGCAGAGCCCCUCCCGCCUCCUGUCCGCCACAAAGGGCCUCGCGGAGCUGGGCUGUUCCGAUCCGGGCUGAGCCGGAGCCGGGACCGGGAAUCCCCCGCCGCUCCCUCGGGACCGCGCGAGUCCCCCGCCCGGGGCAGUGCCCCACUUCAGGUGUCACCCGCAGCUCGGCAGUUUGCGUUACGGAGAGCCCCAGGUGUCGGAGUCUUUUGCCUCAGCUGUUGGCGUUGGGGAGGAAGAGCGGUGGGAGCCGAUCUGCCGCAGCCGCUUCCUUUCAAAGCGGAGAAACGCCGGGCGCUGCUGGGGAUUGUUUGUCCGAGUGUUUCCUCCUGAACAGGCUUCAGAAACAGUCAGCGGACGGCGCAGAAACGACUGGGAAUUCUAAGUCUGAGCUUUCUCUUUCUGGAAGUGCAGAGGAUCUCACCCUCGGACACUUGUGUGGAUGGCAUGGAUAUACGGCUGAGUUUAUCAAGUUUGGAAUGCUUUUGCUGUCCAAAUAAAGUGCUUUUAGGUUUUCAGGCACUUUUUUUCUUCUGAGCACUGCUCUGUCUGUGUCGCAGACAUAACCAGAGUUGUAGGCUCUCUCCAGAUCAGAUGCUGCCGGAGUCUCUGGAUAGACAUUACUGAAAAGUUUCAUGGCAGAUAUUCUUACCCCUAUGUUAUUUUUUAGAUUUUCUCACAUAGCCUUUUGUCUUUUGCAGUGCUACCCAUUUUCUAAAUGAAGAGUCUAACAGAAAUCUGUUUAUCCUUUUUUCUUUUUUGUUUUAUUUAAUAUUUUUCAAAAAUGUUGCCGAUAAGCAAUAUGGCGGUAUCUAGAUAGCUGUUGUUUACAAUUGCUUCUGUUACCUGGAAUGAAGAUGUGUUCUUCAGUUCAGAUGUGAAAUUUGGAUUUUCAGCUUCACAAUUUGUGACAUAAAAAGUGUAUUUAUUUCAUUUGGAGCUGAUGGUUCUUAUAGCAAUACAUUCAUGGAAUAGAUGAGAGAAAAAGCUUUCAGAAAAAAAACAAACUUUUUAAGUGAGAGACUCGGUAGAUUUUGAAAUCUACGUAUUUCAGCAAGAAGGAUGGAUAGCUGAUUCCUGUGAGGUUAAAUCUAUGUCAGGCAGCUACGAAUGUAGUAUCAACAAGAACUUGGGAUAUUAUCUCAAGGAAAACAAACUGGAAAAAUAUAAAUCACGUGGAGUUAACACCUUGUGCGGUCCUCUUGGAUUAGGCAAGUAUUGUGUUCAUAAAUCAAUUUACAUUUGAACAAAUGCUUUACCAGUAGAAUGUUUAAAUCAGUGACAUUGACGUUCUGGAGGAUAUAGUUGUGUGUUUUUUUUUUAAUGUUGAAACGAGCUAGCAGAAUCUAGUUUUUAUUUGUUUUUUUUGAUAAUUACUGGAAUGUCUUUAAGAAUUUGCAGAAUACAUGCCCUACUACUACAAGAGCAGUUUGUAAGUAGGAGUGUGAUUUUUUUUUUUUCUGUGAGAUUAAAUAAUACGUACUUCUAGACAGAAUCUGGAGGUAACUUAACCCCUCCUAAACUUGAAAAUGAGCUACUGUACUUCCUGAAUAAAUCUGCUGGGUAGCUUGUCUUCCA